rnacentral:rRNA from 1 species
AUACCUCAGUAACGGCGAAGUGAAGCGGUAACAGCUCAAAUUUGAAAUCUGGGUCUUUCAGGCUUUUUGUUGUAAUUUGUAGAAGAUGCUUCGGGUGCGGCACCGGUCUAAGUUCCUUGGAACAGGACGUCACAGAGGGUGAGAAUCCCGUAUGUGAUCGGCUGCCUGCGCCUAUGUGAAGCUCUUUCGACGAGUCGAGUUGUUUGGGAAUGCAGCUCUAAAUGGGUGGUAAAUUUCAUCUAAAGCUAAAUAUUGGGCCAGAGACCGAUAGCGCACAAGUAGAGUGAUCGAAAGAUGAAAAGCACUUUGGAAAGAGAGUUAAACAGUACGUGAAAUUGUUGAAAGGGAAGCGCUUGCGACCAGACUUGCGCGGGGUUGAUCAUCCGGGGGUUCUCCCCGGUGCACUCGACCUCGCUCAGGCCAGCAUCGGUUUCGGUGGUUGGAUAAAGGCCUUGGGAAUGUAGCUUCUUUCGGGGAGUGUUAUAGCCCUCGGUGCAAUGCAGCCUACCGGGACCGAGGACCGCGCUUCGGCUAGGAUGCUGGCGUAAUGGUCGUAAGCGACCCGUCUUGAAACACGGACCAAGGAGUCUAACAUCUAUGCGAGUGUUUGGGUGUCAAACCCAUACGCGGAAUGAAAGUGAACGGAGGUGAGAACCCUUAAGGGUGCAUCACCGACCGGUCCUGAUGUCUUCGGAUGGAUCUGAGUAAGAGCAUAGCUGUUGGGACCCGAAAGAUGGUGAACUAUGCCUGAAUAGGGUGAAGCCAGAGGAAACUCUGGUGGAGGCUCGCAGCGGUUCUGACGUGCAAAUCGAUCGUCAAAUUUGGGUAUAGGGGCGAAAGACUAAUCGAACCAUUGUUGCUAGGUGGUUAAGAGGGGGGCCGAGAGAGCCCUCUAGUCCCUCGCCGGGGCGACACUGUCAAAUUGUUCGGGGACUACCCGUGAAGUUUUAAGCUACCGCAGCCGGAUCGAAAGAUAGGCGCGCACCGGGCUAAUAACCUUGGGGAUGGUAAUAAUGCUUAGAUAGGGUACACCCGCAGCGAAGACCUACGGGCACGUUAGUGCCUAUGGAUAACGUUCACAGACUAGACGGCAGUGGGCCUGAUAUAGGCUUAAGAUAUAGUCGGUCCCCUCAGAGAUGAGGUGGGUAGCUAAAGGCUAUAGGGGGCGACCUGGGGCGACCCAGGACCCUGUAGCCCCGAGCUACCCAGGAGCACACGCUCUGGGGCACGGGUGGUCCGCCACCGUGC